UACAGAGGUCUCAAGCGUUGUUCGGAUUCAUUGGGCGUAAAGGGCGCGUAGGUGGCGGGGUAAGUCAGGUGUGAAAUCUCGGGGCUCAACCCCGAAACUGCACUUGAUACUGCCUUGCUCGAGUACUGGAGAGGAGAUUGGAAUUUACGGUGUAGCAGUGAAAUGCGUAGAUAUCGUAAGGAAGACCAGUGGCGAAGGCGAAUCUCUGGACAGUUACUGACACUGAGGCACGAAGGCCAGGGGAGCAAACGGG
rnacentral:rRNA from 1 species